GCGAUGAUCCUCCUACAAUCAGCGCUGUUUAUUUUCCCUUUCUUACUCCAUUUACAAUAAUAAUGGAAAAGUUGCUGCCAAUUACAAGAAGAGACCUGAUAUCGCCACACUGCACAUAUUAUUUCUAGCGUUAGACGUGUUCAUAUAUCCCGUAAAAUCAAAUAUUUAAGAUCAGAAUAUGUUUAUAGGAAUGUAAUAUUAGAUCUAAGAUCUUGCUACACCUGCUAACCAUAAAAACAUACUUCGCAUAGCCUACUGCAGCAUACAUAGGUGGUCUUGCCUUGUAUCCGUUGGGUGGCUCUCAAGAAGUGAGCUGUCUUUACUCGUAAUGUGUAAGUAAUAAUUGCUUUUAGAAUUUUACAGACAUAUUCAUUAACUAGUUAAAUUCAUAAAUAAGUGGAAGACAAGAUUCCUUACAAAACCAUUUUUUCUUUUCUCAGGUUUUUAUGGGAAGAUACCCGCCGGUUUAAAAUGAGGUUCCUAAGUCUGACCUUUUAGGUUCUGUUUUCCUUUGUGUCGUUCAGAGAAGAAGCUUUAGGAACGUCUGCUGAACAACCAGUUACUGCAAUAGUCCUAGAAACUCGCUUCAAGCAUCAGAAUAGUGAUCAGGCAAGAUUGAUUGUUGCUGAGAUCUUCAAUCGUCACGAGUGCAUCAAAGUUUGUCAGGAAAGAUCAGAACUUGGUUCCUGUGAGGUGGACACAGACUGCUGUGCUCGGGAGUUUAAAGGAGACUCUUACCUGUCUUUUGUUUUCGGGUAAAAAACGAUCGGACAGAUUGCUGACAGUCGCUGAUACAGAAAGUACUCUUGGGUUCAGGUUAUAUAUUAAAAGCCUUAAUAUAUGUACCAUUGUGACAGGUAAUAUUUAUUGUAAUUUUCAUCUUGGUACCAUAGUUUCAAGCAAUUUUGGAAUGAACUCUUCUUUCAUGUUGGUAUCCUAGUUUCAGAUCCUAAUUUAAUGUAAUCCUCACAUUGGUAAUGUAGUUCCAAAUCCUCUUUAUAAUGUAAUCUUCUUGUCAGUACUACAUUUAUCUUAUAUGCCCAAUAAUUAACAAAGAUUCAGAUUUAGUUUAUAGUGUGUGUAACUUUUGCUUCACUUUCGGUAUCCAGUUUAAUAACUGAUUUUGUGCCACUACUCUGAUCAUUUAAAAUUUCAAGCUUCAUAUUGGGACGUCAGUCACAUUCAGUAAUCUUCAUUAUUUUCUACCCAAGUUCCUCAGUAGCGACGUGAAGUUAAUUUUGACAUUGACAUCAUGAGCCCUGAAGGCAGUUUAGUCUAUUGUUUUGAUAUCAUAAAAACGUGGUUUAACUCUUAGUUUUAUUCUACUAAACCUGUUUUAUGCUUAUGAUUUAAUAAAAUGAGAGACUGAGCGUAGCAUUAAUAGCCUGUCUUGCAAAGAACACAAAUUGCAGGAAACUGACCAACCAAUCCGCUUGAUCUCUGAUCAAGAGGCUUAGCUGUGCAAGAACACUUCCUGAUAAUAACCAACAACAGUAUUAAGAAACAAAUACCUGUCUUGUCAUUUUCUACUGACUGUGCAGACCUCUGGCACACUGCAAGUAUUCAUUGUCUUUGAAUCUUUCUUUGCAACACUGGUUAUCCGUCAGGCAGGAGCCGAAGUCAUCCUUGAUCCGACAAGUACCGAUGCAGCUGUGGGACGGAAGACCAAAGGCGUCUCGCAGAGAGAGAGAAGGUUUAGAACUUCC